rnacentral:rRNA from 1 species
CGCGUAGGCGGUCUCUUAAGUCAGAUGUGAAAGCCCGGGGCUUAACCCCGGAAGUGCAUUUGAAACUAAGGGACUUGAGUAUGGGAGAGGGAAGUGGAAUUCCUGGUGUAGAGGUGAAAUUCGUAGAUAUCAGGAGGAACACCGGUGGCGAAGGCGACCUCCUGGACCAAUACUGACGCUGAGGCGCGAAGGCGUGGGGAGCAAACAGGAUUAGAUACCCUGGUAGUCC